ACCGGUGGAAGCGAGUAACGGUUCGUUAACCAUCGCGCGCGCACGUUUACGACAAAUUUUCAGCUCAUUCCCCGCGAGAAUUUCUCUCCGUGAAUGAAGCCUCGAAAGGACCAGAAUUGGCAUCGGCCUCUAAACGAUUUCGCCAUACGAACAGCGGCAUUUCAUUACUUCGGCUGAAUACGGAAAAAUUUCACAUCAUUCAGCAAUUAUUGAUGUAAUGUCGAGAAACGCGAAAAGCUAAACGCAAUACUUUACGACUCUCCUUAACGGUCGAGGAAUCAUUUUAUUCGCGAUUGAGAGCGCGCGCCGCUCGGAAUUAAUCGGUAAUAAAUUGGAGCUUUGUGCGCGGAGGAAUUUCGUCUCACUCGCCAUUUCACAGAGCGGAAGGCUGUACAGACUUAAUACAGAUGAGGAAGCGGCGAUGUUUAAACACGCCCACCAGAGGCAUGUCCGGGGGACCUGGAGAAAUCAUUACUCUUCACCAUUUGCAUAAAAACGUGGUCGCGGUGAGCGCGAUUCGUAAAUAUUUGAACGGGCUUGUUUGCGAAGAAAAUCGAAUGACGGGAGUUUCGAAUCCGCCACAGAGCUAGGAAGUCGAGGAAAAUGGGACACGCAAAUUUUUCAGCGAGAAUCGAACGCUGCAGAUCGCGGCGUACAAAUUGGCAGAAACUUCCCCGCCGCUCGCGGUACGCGCUUCCUCGUAAUGGACGAAACUCAACUGCCGCAUCGAUUACAAAUGUCUCGCGCUGUUUGGACUUUUCACGGAUUGUCUCGAUGGAUGUCCUUCCGGCAAGGAUCGGCGCUUUCCGCAGCCGAGUAUAAUGCCACUCGGCGAACCCUAUCCUUUCCCCAUCGGCCGAAACGUUCUCAUCGAUUUUUAUCGAGGCCUCGGUGACGGCGGUAUUGAAUUUGCGGUCGAGCGAGAUGGCUCUUCCGGAACCGGAGGUAGAUUCGUCGAGCAUUGUGGAAAUAAAACGAGAGCGUUUUGGAAAGCAAGAGGGAAUAGCUGUUGCCGGUGAAAUUGAUUUUCGAAGCCCUCAGAAAGGUCGAUUUUAUAGAUAAUCCAAUACGACGACGUACGUGUUUGCAGUUAAAGAGCUAAAGAGUUGCAGUUAAACAGCUGGAAAAAAUGUAUGUAUCAAAAAUUUCUUUCAAGAAAAAACCAAGCUGAAGGAUAAAUCCGAUAAUUAUACCCGUCAUCGUUGCGUAACUGCUAUGAAUUCUACACGAGAUUUCACGUAAGAUAUUUCGACCCGUCUAUUAAAAUGUCAAAGUCAAACGCGGUGCCUGUAGUCGUACGAAUAAAAAGGAUGAGUGAUGCAUAAUCGCGCGCCGCGGCGAUUGUGCACCAACGAAAGAUCGAA